GAGAGGUGAUGGCCUUCAUUAGCACUGGUGGGGGGUCCCGGUUGGAUAUCAGAGAGUAUUUCUUAAGGCCAUCACAUCUCAUCCUACAGUAACUGCCAUCAGCAUGUGAUUCUGGGUCCUUUCAGCCAAGUUCUGCCUCUCCUGAUGAGGAUGUUGAGUCUGGAAAGCUGGAACAUGCAAAGGGCAGCAGCGAUAUGAAUGGCCACCAUCACAACCUCACUGAGCUGCUGUUUCAUAGGCUUGAUUAAGAUGACUGAAUUAUAAAUGGGGUAAAUGACUCCUGAUUCCUGUAGAAGAAGCACUCAGGUCUGCCAAGUCCCAUAGGCUCCAGUAGGGAACAAAUUGCUGGAAGAGGAGCUUGACAGCCUGAAACAGUUCCACGCCAAUUUGGCUGAUGAUGUCAAGUUAAAUUGAAAUGGGGCCAGCUGCCUUCGUUACGGGGUGAUCUCCUGGAAGCUUCAACCCUUUCACUGCCUGAACCUCCUGCUUAGGACCUUCAAAGAGUGCAAAGGACCAUAAAGAGAAGCAAGGAGUUAUUGUUUAGAGGUCUCACUUCCCUCUUUACCUGUACUGGAUGCUGUUUCCAAGUUGAAAUGUAUUGGGGAAAAGAUAUUGCAAAAUCAGUGUAUUGCUCAUAGCAUCUAGGACCGGACCACUGAGAAUUAAGGUUGGCCAUGUUCAUCCUUGCCUAACCAGCAUCACAGGAGGUGAUUCAUCUUUAGUUGGAAGCCAUUAUUCCUGAUUUCAGUAGAAAUUUCUCACCUCCACUAUUCCCGGUGCUGCAGGAACAAGUAAACCUCUGGGAGUCUGGCUGCACCCAUGUUAACCAGAGAGAUACUUUGAGCCAGAACAAAAUGUGGACAGUCCACAUUCAUGUUGAGCAAAAUUAUCAGAGCAUCUCGUUAGCCCUCCCACCUUUUCCCCAUCCUUAACUGCUUCUCAUACAGGCUGAAGUGUGAAGGGCUGUCUUGCUUCUCCACUUCUUCUGGGACUUUAGUAUCACUAGGAAAUGUAUGGCAUUUUCUUUUAGGUCUUUGGGUUCCAGCCCAAGCUGAAGAGACAGGAGAGAUGGAGGUGUACAUGGGUAUCUGCUGCCCUUCUGGGGCAUCUCAUCACUUCAAAGUGUGCACACACUGCUUCAACCAUCCCAUUGCCUCACUGUCUCAGUGCCUUCUGACCUCCUGCCUGAACACCAGUUCUCCCACUGUUGUUAAUGGGGGGCAAAGUGAGGUUGCUAUUGCAGACACUGGUUUUGAGUGAAGGAGAAAGGUGAUACUUCAACCUGGGCCCCAAAAUGUUCCAAUGACCCCCUCUGUCCUCCAAACCUUCUAUGACUUUUCCUAAUUCCCUCGUUACUUUUUGCCUCCAGCUGUGGCUGGAAGUUCUCUUGUUCCCGAUGUGAUUCCCAAUGAACCAGGAAAAGAUAAUAAGAAAACAAACCAACAUUUGCUAUGCCCAGUUCCUCCAUGACCAAAAUUUAUCUGAUGACCACAGUUGAGCAGAGGAGGAUUCUCUUUUAAUGGCUGUCAAUUGCAAUCACCGCUGAUGACAUCAAGACAGAAUGAAGAUAGCAAGGUAAAAAGGAAUGGAAAAUUAUCAGGCUAAUUUUAUUUGCUUUGACUGAUUGGAAGACAAAGGAGGAAAUUUCCAAGAGGAGAUUCAGUAGAUAUGAAAAAGGAAUCGUCAGUCUUUCAUGUACCUUUAUAAAUAAUGCUCCAUCUCGAUUUAUUUUGAAAGGAAGGGGAAAGCAUUUCAUCAUUUGCUGCUGUGGGAGAAGACUGAAUGGUUUCUCAAGUAAUGGCAGUAAUACCUUGCAUGUAUGCAAGCUCUUUGAAAUGACAAUAUUCCAAGUGCUUUCUAAAGAGUGGUGCUGUAACAAAUAGUAUCUUCCUCUUCCAAAAGAGGCUGCACUGGAGGAAAAGGGGUGGGGUGGUCCUUGGAGAUGCCCUCAAAGAACUGGGUCUGGGUUGCGUCAACAUCCUGGACACUCGACAGUAAGGAAGAAGCUACCCUGUCAGUACAGAUGGAGAGGAGGUUGAGGGUGAGUAAGAAGGACAAGAACAGAUAAGCUCAAAAUAGCCUGGACUAUCAAAAUCACAAGCUAUAAUCAAUUUAAAGAGGAUCACAUAAGGCAAAGGGACAUGGCAAUCCAUGUAACCACAGAAUUACCAGUUUCCAAGUCAACUGAAACCAAGUGGUCUUGAGUGCUCCUGGGCCAUAUUAUCGCAGACCAAAGUGCUGUAGACCACCAAAUCUCAACAAAGAAGAUAAUCAGGUCUUUAGACACCUGUAUUUAUAUGAUGUGUUGGGAAAGGCUGUGAGAGUUUCAGCCCAAGGAGCUUUUGUUUGAGGUCCCAUCCUGCCAGCAUCAAAACAUCUUGGGGAUGUUUUGAGGACAACCUCAGAAAUCAAAAAUUCCUUCCUCGGCUGAAAAACAAAUCACCUGUUACCUAAUCUUGACAGUUAAAAAGGCAUUAAAAAGGCAGAAAUGGAAAUUGUUUGUGGCUCAGAUGCAUGCAAUGAAGAAUCAAUUGGACAUCUGCAAUGUGCACAGACCCCAACCUGGGCCUCUUCAUUAGUUGAACCUGGUAAAACAUUUCAGCAACAUGUGGAUGGUUGUAGAGGGCUGCUGUUGAACCUUUGUCCCAAAGGUUAUACCCUGCAUUCAAGACUCUCAUACUAAUUAAAAAUAAACCUCUUAGCUGUCUA